rnacentral:rRNA from 1 species
UACGUAGGGUCCGCGCGUGUCCGGAAUUAUUGGGCGUAAAGAGCUCGUAGGCGGUCUGUCGCGUCGAUCGUGAAAACUUGGGGCUUAACCCUGAGCUUGCGGUCGAUACGGGCAUGACUGGAGUUCGGCAGGGGAGACUGGAAUUCCUGGUGUAGCGGUGAAAUGCGCAGAUAUCAGGAGGAACACCGGUGGCGAAGGCGGGUCUCUGGGCCGAUACUGACGCUGAGGAGCGAAAGCGUGGGGAGCGAACAGG